rnacentral:rRNA from 1 species
AACGUACGCUGGCGGCACGCCUAACACAUGCAAGUCGAACGAAGUAGCAAUACUUAGUGGCAGACGGGUGAGUAACAUGUAGGUAUCUGCCCUUUGGCCUGGAAUAACACGAGGAAACUUGUGCUAAUACCGGAUAAGUCUUUACGGAGAAAGCUUUAUGCACCAUUGGAUGAGCCUGCACUUGAUUAGUUUGUUGGUGGGGUAAUGGCCUACCAAGACUGUGAUCAAUAGCUGAUUUGAGAGGAUGAUCAGCCACAUUGGGACUGAGACACGGCCCAAACUCCUACGGGAGGCAGCAGUGGGGAAUCUUGCACAAUGGAGGAAACUCUGAUGCAGCGAUGCCGCGUGAGUGAAGAAGGCCCUUGGGUUGUAAAGCUCUUUCGUCGGGGAAGAAAAUGACUGUACCCGAAUAAGAAGGUCCGGCUAACUUCGUGCCAGCAGCCGCGGUAAUACGAAGGGACCUAGCGUAGUUCGGAAUUACUGGGCUUAAAGAGUUCGUAGGUGGUUGAAAAAGUUAGUGGUGAAAUCCCAGAGCUUAACUCUGGAACUGCCAUUAGAACUUUUCAGCUAGAGUAUGAUAGAGGAAAGCAGAAUUUCUAGUGUAGAGGUGAAAUUCGUAGAUAUUAGAAAGAAUACCAAUUGCGAAGGCAGCUUUCUGGAUCAUUACUGACACUGAGGAACGAAAGCAUGGGUAGCGAAGAGGAUUAGAUACCCUCGUAGUCCAUGCCGUAAACGAUGUGUGUUAGACGUUGGAAAUUUAUUUUCAGUGUCGCAGGGAAACCGAUAAACACACCGCCUGGGGAGUACGACCGCAAGGUUAAAACUCAAAUGAAUUGACGGGGACCCGCACAAGUAGUGGAGCAUGUGGUUUAAUUCGAAGAUACGCGCAGAACCUUACCAACACUUGACAUGUUCGUCGCGACUCUAAGAGAUUAGAGUUUUCGGUUCGGCCGGACGAAACACAGGUGCUGCAUGGCUGUCGUCAGCUCGUGUCGUGAGAUGUUGGGUUAAGUCCCGCAACGAGCGCAACCCUCACUUUUAGUUGCCAUCAUUAAGUUGGGCACUCUGAAAGAACUGCCAGUGAUAAGCUGGAGGAAGGUGGGGAUGACGUCAAGUCCUCAUGGCCCUUACGUGUUGGGCUACACACGUGCUACAAUGGUAUCUACAACAGGAAGCAAGACUGCGAAGUUAAGCAAAUCCCUAAAAGAUACCUCAGUUCGGAUUGCACUCUGCAACUCGAGUGCAUGAAGCUGGAAUUACUAGUAAUCGUGGAUCAGCGUGCCACGGUGAAUGCGUUCCCGGGUCU